ACCACAGUAGGGAAUAUUGCGCAAUGGGGGAAACCCUGACGCAGCAAUGCCACGUGAGUGAGGAAGGCCUUCGGGUUGUAAAGCUCUGUCCUAUAGGAAGAACGGCCAUAUGGUUAAUACCCAUUUGGUUUGACGGUACUAUAGAAGAAAGCACCGGCUAACUCCGUGCCAGCAGCCGCGGUAAUACGGAGGGUGCAAGCGUUGUUUGGAUUUACUGGGCGUAAAGCGCGCGCAGGCGGAUUGGCAAGUCAGAUGUGAAAUCUCGGGGCUUAACCCCGAAACUGCGUCUGAAACUGCUAGUCUAGAGUCUCAUAGGGGGCAGGGGAAUUUCACGUGUAGGGGUAAAAUCCGUAGAGAUGUGAAGGAACACCGGUGGCGAAGGCGCCUGCCUGGAUGAGUACUGACGCUGAGGCGCGAAAGCGUGGGGAGCAAACAGGAUUAGAUACCCUGGUAGUCCACGCCGUAAACGAUGAGUACUAGCUAUUGGAGGUAUUGACUCCUUCAGUGGCGCAGCUAACGCAUUAA
rnacentral:rRNA from 1 species